UCUCGAAUCGUCCAAUGGGUAGGACACAAAUUUUUGGUGUUUGCUGUGAGUGUUCGAAUCACUCUUCGAGAA
rnacentral:tRNA from 2 species